CAAGUCGAACGUGAAAGGGAGCAAUCCCAAGUAAAGUGGCGUACGGGUGAGUAACACGUAGGUAAUCUACCCUAGAAUCUGGAAUAACCUGCCGAAAGGCGGGCUAAUACUGGAUAGAGCGACGGAAUCCGUAAUUGGGUUUUUCGGGAAAGGGAGCUCGUAAGAGCCUUCGUUCUAGGAUGAGCCUGCGUCCCAUUAGCUAGUUGGUAGGGUAAUGGCCUACCAAGGCUUUGAUGGGUAGCUGGUCUGAGAGGAUGAUCAGCCACACUGGAACUGAAACACGGUCCAGACUCCUACGGGAGGCAGCAGUGGGGAAUCUUGCGCAAUGGACGAAAGUCUGACGCAGCCACGCCGCGUGAGUGAAGAAGGCCUUCGGGUUGUAAAGCUCUGUCGUCCGGGACGAAAAUUCUUUAGGUUAAUAGCCUAAGGAACUGACGGUACCGGAAAAGGAAGCACCGGCUAACUCCGUGCCAGCAGCCGCGGUAAUACGGAGGGUGCAAGCGUUGCUCGGAAUUAUUGGGCGUAAAGGGUAGGUAGGUGGUCUCAUUUGUCUAGGGUGAAAGCCUUGAGCUUACUCAAGAAGUGCCCUAGAAACGGUGAGACUAGAGUUCUGGAGAGGGUCGUGGAAUUCCCGGUGUAGCGGUGAAAUGCGUAGAGAUCGGGAGGAACACCAGAGGCGAAAGGCGGCGACCUGGACAGAUACUGACACUCACUACGAAAGCGUGGGGAGCAAACAGGAUUAGAUCCCCUGGUAUCCACGCUGUAACGAUGGAUCCUAAGUUUGGGUGGGUCUUGACCCCCGCUGAACCCGAAGCUAACGCAUUUAAGUAUCCCCGCCCUGGGAAAGUACGGUCGCCAGAACUAAAACCUC
rnacentral:rRNA from 1 species